GGGGCUGAUUAUGGAUUUGACAAAGUUAUAAAACUCUAAGAGCAUGUCAAGGUACGGUAGGCCUUGUAAAAAAACCGUAUAAAAUAGUUGCAAAUAAUCAAAAUUACGCUUUAGCAGCAUAAAAAACUGUAGGAGCCCUAUUACUUAUUAUUUUCUCUUUGAUGAAAAGUAAAUAGGUCAUAAAUAAAAGAGAUCGUAUAUAAAUUAAUCUAAGAUAAAUAUACUAAAGUAGUAUAUUAGAAUAUAUAAUAUAUAACUUUGUUUUAUCAGUUUAUAUUAAUGAAUUUUAUAAGAUAAAACUAAACAUGUAGUUCUGAAAGUGUAAUAAUUUUGGACGGGGGUUCAAAUCCCCCCAGCUCCAAUA
rnacentral:tmRNA from 1 species